rnacentral:rRNA from 1 species
UACGUAGGCAGCGAGCGUUGUUCGGAGUUACUGGGCGUAAAGCGUGCGUAGGCGGUUUUGUAAGUUUGGUGUGAAAUCUCCCGGCUCAACUGGGAGGGUGCGCCGAAAACUGCAAGGCUGGAGUGUGGGAGAGGUAGGCGGAAUUCCUGGUGUAGCGGUGAAAUGCGUAGAUAUCAGGAGGAACACCUGUGGUGUAGAUGCGUUACUGGACCAUGACUGACGCUGAGGCACGAAAGCGUGGGGAGCAAACAGG